AUCCAAAUAGGAAGAAGAUUAGUUCCUGCACAUUGCAAUAAAGAAAUAAAUAUUAGGAAAAGAAUAUUUUAAACUAUUCAUGGAUGAGUAGAGAUGAAAAUAUUCAAUCUUGAAUCUUAAAUCUUGGAAAACAAAGAUGGAAAUGAUGUUUUGCCUUCAAAACAACCAAUAAAACCCUAAGAAAUAAAAGGAAAUUAAGUUCU
rnacentral:lncRNA from 1 species